UUAGAGCUAGCUCCUAUGAUCUGAAAAAUCACAAUGAUAAACUCUAGAGGUAACUCUCACUCUUUGUAAUAUUUACCUCAUAUUAAUUCUAGUAUUGCAUUCAAUAUUCAAGGAUGUGCUUGCUACUGUUUAUACUUUGCUGAUUCAAAUACUGUAGCUUUUACUGUUAUGGUAAAUUCUACAAAGGUGCAACUUUAUUCUCUUUUGUAAUUUUAGGACAUUUUAUUCUUCCUGAAGAUGCCUUCUAUGAUAACUUUGCAUGGAGAAGCUGGGCUAUUCUGAGAUGUUGGUUGCCUGAACAAUUCUUAGGCCUCAGAAGGAUGGCUAGACAACAUCUUUAUAAUAAAGAGUUGAGUCAUGCAAAUGACCUACUAUAGGAAUCUCUUCAGGUAAUAACUACUAGUAGGAAAUACCUGAAAGAAGACUCUUCAGACUAAUAUCUCAUCACCAUAUAUUAUUCUAAAGCAUAUUCUGAAGAUGAUAUCUACAGUGAUGAGUUGGAGUCAUAGAUGGUGCCACUUCUUCAACCAGCUAUAUCACCAAAACAAUCUUCAUUAUACAUGAUGAUGCCUCUUUCCUGUGUAGCAGCAGACACCACCUUCAGAUAAGAAAUGCUUAAGUGAGAAAUGCUCAUUUUGGGAUAUCAUCGGUGAAACUAUAAUUUGGGCAUGGUGACUGUUUCCCUUGCUGCCACUUGACUCAAUCCCAGAAGCUUAAUAGAUGAAAUAGUAUUGUACAAGGAGCUCAAAAUGUGGAAGUAAUUAGUGCUCCUAUAAAUAUAGAUUAAUGAUUUAAAAUAUGAUAUAUUAAAAAGAAAAUGCCUGACUAAAAAAACCUGAAUGCAUACUUAUAUGAUUAAUACAUAAAUCAUGUACCUUCUCUUUUGAAAAUUAUCCCCAUGGUUUCUCUCUGUUAAGGGAAGGUAUACAUGCUUUUAAGCAAAAAAUAUACACGACAGACACAUACUGUCUGGUGGGGGACAUCUAGUAGUAAGGCCAUAUUGUUAUGCAAAUUCUAGUUUUGUUUGAGUCUUUUUAUGAGGUUUUGCUAUUUCAGUAUUCAUAUUCAUAUCUAUGUCAUUUGUUGAGUGACUAUAUGACUGUUUUUACAUGAAAUAGAAUGAAAUAUUUUAAACAUUGCUUAUACAUUGGCAGUUAUAUAGGUACCAAUUCUCUGUGCAAUACACUUCCAUACAUAACAUUUCUGCAUUUGUCUCCUCUAUCAGAGUAAAUUUACCUAGAACUUAAAUUAUUGAAAUUAAGUAUAUUAAUGCUUCAAGUUUUAAAAUUAUUAUUUCUUUCACAAUGUACUUGAAGAGAUUUCCCCUUAGAGCCAAUGAGUUAUAUUGCCAAAUUCUUCAAAAUACCAUUAUGGUGGAUUUUACGAGUGAUUCAGGUCCUUUCCAGUGUGUUAGCCCGAAUUGUUGUUAUGAAUUGUAUUUAUUUUAUUUUUGAGUUUGAUCAUUUUCAUGUUUAUAAGCCAUCUGUAUUAUUUUAAUUUCUUAUUUAUGUCAAAGCCUGGGAGUAUGGUGAAGAUUUAGUCUAAAGUUCUUUUACUGUUGACAAAAGAUAAGAUUUUGGAUUGUCAAACAUUACAUGUUUGUCACACUUUUAAACUUUGUUUUGUUAUCAGAAUGUAUAUUACUGUUACAUGUCUAAGUAUAACCAUGUUUGCUUUUAUGACUCCUAAGUUUCAUGUCAUUUUUUUUGAAAAAAAUAUACUGAGCCCAUAAAUCCUUUCACCUAUGUUAAUCGUAAUUAUUUUUUUUGUUUUUUAAAUUGAAAUUCUUGCAUCAUGAAAAGAAUUUUAUUUUGAAAUCUUAGAAUUGCCAAGUUAUUUGACAUUAUUUAUAAUUAUUUGCUAGUAAUUGCCCAUUUAUCUGUAAUGCCAUCAUGCAUAUGUGCUGUAUUCUCAUCCAUGAAUGGCUCCAUUUUUGUUGUGUGGAUAUGUGUGUCUCUUCUGCCUUAUGUCUCAUGUGUCUUAUUGUUGGAAGAAAUUACAGUUUAGACUGUAAUUUCAUCAACCUUAAUAAAUCAAUCUGGGAAAAACUUGUUUUAAAUGAUAUUGUCUUUGUAAAUCUGGCCAAAGUAUGUCUCUUUUAUUAAAUAUUUAAUUAUUAUUGAUAUUUUCACUAUAA